UACGUAGGGGGCAAGCGUUAUCCGGAUUUACUGGGUGUAAAGGGAGCGUAGACGGUUCUGCAAGUCUGAUGUGAAAGGCGGGGGCUCAACUCCUGGACUGCAUUGGAAACUGUAGGACUUGAGUGCCGGAGAGGUAAGCGGAAUUCCUGGUGUAGCGGUGAAAUGCGUAGAUAUCAGGAGGAACACCAGUGGCGAAGGCGGCUUACUGGACGGUAACUGACGUUGAGGCUCGAAGGCGUGGGGAGCAAACAGG
rnacentral:rRNA from 1 species